GUGUCAGCAGCCGCGGUAAUACGGAGGGUGCAAACGUUGCUCGGAAUCAUUGGGCGUAAAGCGAGCGUAGGCGGUCUCGUAAGUCGGAUGUGAAAGCCCUCGGCUCAACCGAGGAAGUGCACCCGAAACUGUGAGACUUGAGUGCCGGAGAGGGUGACGGAAUUCCCGGUGUAGAGGUGAAAUUCGUAGAUAUCGGGAGGAACAUCAGUGGCGAAGGCGGUCACCUGGACGGUAACUGACGCUGAGGCUCGAAAGCGUGGGGAGCAAACAGGAUUAGAAACCCUCGUAGUCC
rnacentral:rRNA from 1 species